rnacentral:lncRNA from 1 species
GUUAGAUAAACCAAAGCCCAUUUUUCUGGGUUUUAAAGUCUGAAUCAUUUUAUUUAUCUAGUGCUGCGUUAUCCUUUCUCUGCUUACUGCUUCCCAGUAUGCACACAUAGCAUAUUGUCUGCUAGCAUGUUGUUAUUUUAAUUUGUGCCAACUAUUGUAUUUCUUCCCUUACUUUUCUCAGAGCUCCCCGUGCCACUGCAGGGAUUACGAUGCUAAUAAAAACUCUUGCUGUUCUUGGUGGAGUCCUCGGGUAGGAGAUGUCUGUUUCUAAUUGUUUUCUUAUUUUUGGCUUUGAACUUCACAUCUUUUCUGCUGAUGUGUGCCUUGAAAGCCCUUCCUGGGAAAGACAGCAUUGCUACCAUGAGCUGUUGCUCAGCCCCACGGCAGGAGGUUUGCGUGCAGAGGAAUGGUUUGGGGUUGGAGUCUGCCUCUGGAUCUCGCCUGAGUUAAUUUGGAUGCUGAUUCGCUUUAUUCUGACAAACUGGUUUCACCCUGUCUUGGUUUUACUCCAUAGGUUUAAUUUCUUUGAUUUAUCAAUGGCCAGUGAAUCAUAUUUUUUUGCCACUUUUACGGCUCACAUGGCACACGUACAGUAAAAGCAAUUACAAAUCUGACAAACCAGACCAUUGAAAAAUUAUGAAGAUUAUGAGAUGAAUUAUUGCUUUAUCCCUCGGCCCCCCUCAACUCUUUGUGCUAGGAGGAUGACAUCAUCGAUUGAAAGAAUAAUUGGUUCUCCAGAUGCUUGAAUGAUACCGAGGGUUCUUUCUUCUCAUAUUAAUGUUCUUUACCUGCAUCACUUUGCCUAUUUCAGAUGUGCACAGUGAUGCAGUUUUAUGACUGCACCCUCAGCAAUAAUCCUUAUUGAUUGUCACCAUCAGUUGUUUGGCUCCAGCCUCAAACCAGUCAAAACUAAGCCUGUGCCUAGAUAUGGGAGGAAUAAGAGACAAAAACAGAUUCAUCUGUGAAAAAAAAGUGUUCAAAGAAACAGCCACAAUAUAUGAGAGACUGAUAUUUCAGUUUAACCCCCAGGACAGAGGCACAGUGGACCAAACUUCAGCCACUGCUAUUAGCUGUUGGACACAGAGAGUUGGUGAUGUUCCCUUGGGAGUCAGCAGAAGGCACAGGCACAGCCCUCUGCAACUGAGGGUGAAUCAACCUCUGAAAGCACCUAUUUUUGGCUCUGAUGGCAUGGUGCUCACACGAUAAGUGCUAGGUCUGGCCACCUCUCAGGCUGUUAACUUCUCUUGAAAUGAAUUCCACUCAACAGCUGUCUGUGGCUCACAUUCAUGCACUGGCCACACUUUGCAUCUUGAGGAAAGAAC